UUGGAACAUCAUUCAAAGAUGAAGACUUGACUUGUAGAAGUCAAGAAGGUUUCUUGUAAUUUGUUAAGUCUUUUACAUUUCCUAAGAACUUGGGACUUGGAAUGGAGUGUCUCUUUGUAUCCAUUCCUAGCCUAUAAAUUGUACCCAAGAUGAGAUUUGUAAGCAAGCAAGAAAGCAAUAAUAACAACUAAAAACUAAAAAUUUCCAGCACUAAAAACCUCUCUUGUUCUUAAGUAAUACCAUUGUUCUUCACAUCAUAAAAAUCUCUACACCAAUUCUUGGUGUUCUUUCUUAACACCACACUUCCGCAUAUUAAAAACCCCAACAAAUUUGGUAUCAGAGCCAGCAUUCUUGGCUGGUCUCUCCACUCUUAUUCGAAGAUCCAAACCUCUUUCAAUUACCGAAAUAUAUUUUCACCAUGUUUGCACUUACCCCCAACCAAGUACCCAUCUUCGACGGAGAACACUACGACUAUUGGAGUAGUCAAAUGCAAACUUUGUAUAUCUCUUUGGAUCUUUGGGAUAUCGUGGAGAACACGUACGCCGAGCCACCAAAAGAAGCUACGAGUGAAUCGUGGAGUGAAGCACAACAAAAACUUUACAAGGAGAAUACUCGGAGAGACGCAAGUGCCUUGAGAUAUCUUCAACAAGGCGUGAGUAAAACCAUUUUUCCAAGAAUAUUUGGAGCAAAAAAGGCAAAAGAAGCUUGGGAUAUUCUACAACAAAGUUUUAAAGGAGAUGAUAAAGUCACUUCUUUAAAACUCCAAUCUCUUUGGAGAGAUUUCGAUAACAUGGCAAUGAAAGAAGGCGAUGGAAUGCAAUCCUUUCUUUCCAAAGUUGCUGAAAUCGUCAACCAAAUUCGAAGCCUUGGUGACGUUAUUGAAGAACGUAAAAUUGUUCAAAAAAUUCUAAGAAGUCUUCCGACGAAGUUCGAUCAUGUUGUUGCGGCCAUAGAAGAAUCUAAAAAUCUUUCCACCUAUACCUUUAAUGAAUUGAUGAGUUCUCUUCAAGUUCAUGAGGAAAGGCUGAAUAGGUCAUCAAAUCAGCCCGUGGAUCAAGCUUUUCAGUCGAAACUUCAUAUUUCGGACAAGAAAAGUUCAAGAUGGCAAGGUGGAAUAGGCGGCUUCAACAACAAAGGAAAACGACAAGGAAAAUUCUUUAAAGGAGGAAAAGAACAACAAUCUGAAAAUUAUUUUUCGGGUUGUCGUAUCUGUAAAAAAUCGAACCAUGAAACUAAAAAUUGUUUCUUCAGAUGCAAGAGCUGCAAGGAUACGGACCACUCGUAUUCUAAAUGUCCAAGAAAAAAUAAAGACGACAAAGACGAAGCGAACUUCUCCAAGCAUGAAGAAGACCAACUCUUUUCUUGCAUGAAUGGGCAAAAAGAGUUCGAGAACGUGUGGUAUGUCGAUAGCGCAUGUAGCAACCACAUGUGUGGUGAUCGUAGUAUCUUUGUGGAGAUAGAUACUAAUCACUAUUCAAAAAUAAAACUUGGAGACGGAAGCAUUCUUGAAGCAAGAGGAAAAGGCGCAAUUGAUGUUAACAAAAAUGGAGGCAACCAAAAGCUCAUUAAAGAUGUUUUUUUCGUUCCGAACGUCACUCAAAAUUUAUUGAGCGUCGGCCAACUCAUGCAAAAAGGUUAUCGGUUACUUUUUGACGAUAACGAGUGCAACAUAUUUGAUAAGAAAACCAAAACUCAUGUGAUGACAAUCCAAAUGACAUCAAACAAGGUAUUUCCCUUAGUUAUGUCGUUGGAAAGGGAAAUGGCCUUCAAAGCUGAAAGUGUUGAUAAAUCUCAUUUGUGGCAUUUGAGAUAUGGUCAUUUGCACAACAAGGGGCUGCAACUAUUGAAGCAAAAGAUUAUGGUUGUUGGCCUUCCAUCAAUUGAAAGAAAUGCUCUGUGAAGGGUGCAUUUUUGGCAAAAUGCAUAGGCUACCUUUUCCUAAAACUUCUUGGAGAGCCAAAUGUCCACUCGAGCUGGUGCAUUCGGACAUUUGUGGUCCUACAAGGACUCCAUCUCUCGGUAACAAAAGGUACUUCAUUCUUUUUGUCGAUGAUUUUUCAAGAAUGAUGUGGAUAUAUUUUUUGAGUGAAAAAUCGGAAGCUUUUUCCAUUUUUCUACAAUUCAAAGCUCUUGUUGAAAAUCAAAGUGGAUUAAAAAUCAAGUCUUUACGGACGGAUCGUGGUGGUGAGUUUCUCUACACACCAUUCAUGGAGUAUUGCAAGAAAAACAGAAUUCAAAGACAACUCACCGUUCGUAGAAGUCCACAACAAAACGGUGUAGCCGAAAGGAAGAAUAGAACCAUUGUCGAGAUGGCGAGGAGUAUGCUUCAAGAAAAAAACUUGCAAAAACAAUUUUGGGCUGAAGCUGUUCACACGGCUAUCUACAUACUCAACCGGUCCCCGACAAAGGCGGUUCUAGAUAAAACACCGUACGAAGCUUGGCAUGAAAAGAAGCCAACGGUGGAUCACUUGAGAGUUUUUGGCUGCAUUGCCUACUCUCAUAUCUCAACUCCAAAUAGAGACAAAUACGAUGAAAAAGGUGAAAAAUUAAUUCUUGUUGGCUACAGCGAUGAGUCAAAGGGUUAUCGUCUUUACAACCCCGAAACUAAAAAACUCAUCGUGUCAAGAGAUGUGAUUUUUGACGAAAUGACCAAAUGGAAUAAAGAGGACAAUUCUUCACCAAACUUGGUGUCAAAUGAUUCCUUGGAGUCAUCUUUUGUACCGGAAGGGCAGCAGCAAAAUGGAAAUGAAACUCCAUUAACAAGUCCUCAAGGAACACCUCAAAGAACACCUGAAAGAAGUUCCUCAAGUUCUUCGAGUUCGGAUUCCGAAUCUCCUCCAAGAAAGGUACGAUCUUUAAAAGAUAUUUAUGAGCAAUGUGAUAUUGCUUUCUUUGGUUGUGAACCUCAGAAUUUUGAAGAGGCAUCAAAAGAAGAAGUUUGGAGAAAAGCCAUGGAAGCCGAAAUUGAAACAAUUAAAAAAAAUAAAACUUGGGAGCUUGUGGAUUUGCCACAAGGCAAAGAUGUAAUCGGCUUAAAGUGGGUGUUCAAAACCAAACUCAAUGAAGACGGUUCUAUCCAAAAACACAAGGCGAGAUUAGUUGCAAAAGGCUAUUCGCAGCAGCCCGGGAUAGACUUCAAUGAGACUUUUGCACCGGUAGCACGAAUGGAGACAAUCCGGUGUGUUCUUGCAAUCGGAGCUCAAUUGGUGCUGAAUGUCUAUCAAUUGGAUGUCAAAUCCGCAUUCCUUAAUGGAGAGCUUAAAGAAGAAGUCUAUGUUCAUCAACUUCAAGGCUUUGAAGUUGCCGAAAAGGAGGAAAAAGUCUAUCGUUUGAAGAAAGCUCUCUACGGAUUAAAACAAGCACCACGAGCUUGGAAUAGCAAAAUCGAUGGCUUUUUUUGCAAGAAUGGAUUUCAAAAAAGUCCAAAUGAGCCCUCUCUCUAUGUAAAAAAAGAAGGUACUCAAGAUUUUUUGAUCAUUUGUCUUUACGUUGAUGAUCUUAUUUAUCUUGGUACUAACGUGAAAAUGGUGAAGGAAUUCAAGAAAAAUAUGAUGCAAGAAUUUGAGAUGUCCGAUUUGGGACUCAUGAAAUAUUUUCUUGGAAUUCAAGUAAAACAAUCCGAGGGAGAGAUUUUUAUCUCUCAAGAAAAAUACGUUGAUGAUUUGUUAAAAAAGUUCAAGAUGGAAAAUUGCAAACCCGUGGCAACACCUUUGGCGGUGAAUGAGAAGUUGCGACAAGACGAUGGCGCUGAAAAAAUUGAUUCAAAAAUAUAUCGAAGUCUUGUUGGUUCGCUUAUCUAUCUCACAAACACAAGACCCGACAUAGUGCACUCCGUUAGCUAUGUUUCGCGGUACAUGAGUGAGCCAAGCAAGCUUCAUUUUGCAGCGGCAAAGAGGAUCCUUCGAUACCUUCAAGGAACAAAGAAGCAAGGGUUGAAGUACGAAAAGGAAGAAAAUAAUGCCUUGAUCGGUUUCACGGAUAGUGAUUGGGCAGGUUGUUUGGAUGAUCGAAAAAGCACUUCGGGCUAUGUUUUCUCUCUUGGUUCGAAGGUGAUUGCAUGGAGUUCAAAGAAGCAAAAGACGGUUGCUUUAUCUUCAAGCGAAGCUGAGUAUAUUGCCGCGGCGGAUGCCGCUUGUGAAGCCGUGUGGCUUAGGAGAAUUCUUUCGGAUUUGCAAGAAAAACAAGUGCAUGCUACGACUAUCUUUUGUGAUAACAUGUCUACAAUUGCAAUGACUAAAAAUCCAGUCUUUCAUGCAAGGUCCAAGCAUAUCGAGCUUCGACAUCACUUCAUACGUGAUCUUGUUGAAGAAGAAGAAAUCUCAAUGAGAUUCAUUAACACCAAUGAUCAAGCUGCUGAUUUUCUUACCAAAGCUGUGACAAUCGAGAAGUUUGAAAAGUUCAAGAAGAAGCUGAAAAUUAUGAAUUAAGAGGGGGUGUUGAAAAUCGUAAUUCAUAUUUUCAAUAAUGAAGUUGGAACAUCAUUCAAAGAUGAAGACUUGACUUGUAGAAGUCAAGAAGGUUUCUUGUAAUUUGUUAAGUCUUUUACAUUUCCUAAGAACUUGGGACUUGGAAUGGAGUGUCUCUUUGUAUCCAUUCCUAGCCUAUAAAUUGUACCCAAGAUGAGAUUUGUAAGCAAGCAAGAAAGCAAUAACAACAACUAAAAACUAAAAAUUUCCAGCACUAAAAACCUCUCUUGUUCUUAAGUAAUACCAUUGUUCUUC
rnacentral:lncRNA from 1 species